rnacentral:lncRNA from 1 species
CACCUCCUAAAACAACGGCUUCCGGAAUGUCUGCAAGUGUGAGGAGGGCUGGAAAGGUCAGAUUCAGAUCACCCCGAAGCAGGACAACUCCAACCAUCUGGUCUUCAGAAGUGUCUGUGCACACAUGGAGCCAUUAGUUCCACUUCUGGCUGGACCUGGACCUAAUCCUGCCUCUCUCUACAGUCUUCAGGGGCCCGUGGGGGCCACCCAAGAGACCCAUAACCACAGCAGCAACAAAUACCUCAGUCCUUACGUACAACUGCACAAGUCCAGGUGAUUCUGUCCCUGAAAACUCACUUCAAAGCUUUGUGUGUCACUGCUGCAGCACCUCGACUGACCUCCAGGCAAGCUGGACAGAUAGCCAGACAGAGGGGGGAAAGACAGGAAUGACUUGUGACAGUGAGGAAAAAUUCCAGAGGUGUUAGAAGAGGAACAGGAGGUAAGUUGGUGUCUGGGAUUUAAUGACCUUACAGCAAACACUUCAUCCAUCAGUUCCAUCAUGGACAAAACUGGUAAAUUACACACAACUAAACAGCUAC